GACGAACGCUGGCGGCGUGCUUAACACAUGCAAGUCGUACGGUAAGGCCCUUUCGGGGGUACACGAGUGGCGAACGGGUGCGUAACACGUGAGUAACCUGCCCACAACUUUGGGAUAACGCUAGGAAACUGGUGCUAAUACUGGAUAUGUGCCCCUGCUGCAUGGUGGGGGUUGGAAAGCUCCGGCGGUUGUGGAUGGACUCGCGGCCUAUCAGCUUGUUGGUGGGGUAGUGGCCUACCAAGGCGGCGACGGGUAGCCGGCCUGAGAGGGUGACCGGCCACAUUGGGACUGAGAUACGGCCCAGACUCCUACGGGAGGCAGCAGUGGGGAAUAUUGCACAAUGGGCGCAAGCCUGAUGCAGCAACGCCGCGUGCGGGAUGACGGCCUUCGGGUUGUAAACCGCUUUCAGCAGGGACGAAGCUUUUUGUGACGGUACCUGCAGAAGAAGCACCGGCUAACUACGU
rnacentral:rRNA from 1 species